GACGAACGCUGGCGGCGUGCUUAACACAUGCAAGUCGAACGGAAAGGCCCUGCUUUUGUGGGGUGCUCGAGUGGCGAACGGGUGAGUAACACGUGAGUAACCUGCCCUUGACUUUGGGAUAACUUCAGGAAACUGGGGCUAAUACCGGAUAGGAGCUCCUGCUGCAUGGUGGGGGUUGGAAAGUUUCGGCGGUUGGGGAUGGACUCGCGGCUUAUCAGCUUGUUGGUGGGGUAGUGGCUUACCAAGGCUUUGACGGGUAGCCGGCCUGAGAGGGUGACCGGCCACAUUGGGACUGAGAUACGGCCCAGACUCGUACGGGAGGCAGCAGUGGGGAAUAUUGCACAAUGGGCGGAAGGCUGAUGCAGCAACGCCGCGUGCGGGAUGACGGCCUUCGGGUUGUGAACCGCUUUCGCCUGUGACGAAGCGUGAGUGACGGUAAUGGGUAAAGAAGCACCGGCUAACUACGUG
rnacentral:rRNA from 1 species